rnacentral:rRNA from 1 species
CACGUAGGGUGCAAGCGUUGUCCGGAAUUAUUGGGCGUAAAGGGCUCGUAGGCGGUCCGUCACGUCGGGAGUGAAAACUCGGGGCUCAACCCCCGAGCCUGCUUUCGAUACGGGCGGACUAGAGGUAGGUAGGGGAGAACGGAAUUCCUGGUGUAGCGGUGGAAUGCGCAGAUAUCAGGAGGAACACCGGUGGCGAAGGCGGUUCUCUGGGACGGUACUGACGCUGAGACGCGAAAGCGUGGGGAGCGAACAGG